rnacentral:lncRNA from 1 species
UACCAUUUAACUCAACGUUUAUCGAUUAUAUCAUUCAAUAACACAUUUAUGAAAUUCUUAAUUUUGCAAUGAAAAUAUCACUUUAGCUUAAAUAACAACAUCAUCCUGGUAUAAAUACACUACCACUUAUUCAUUUACUUUAAUUCAUUUGGGCCCAUUUGUCACUUACCAUCCUUAAUCAAAUUAGGGAACGGUUACGAAAAAUUGAGUACUUCACUUUCACUUUGCCAUAGUAUAACUAUGGUCUUACGUAUGAUCACUUAUCACUUGUCCCUGAUCAGAUAAGUGUAGCCACUUAUCACUUUGUUUCUUGAUCAGAUAAGUGUAGCCACUUAUCACUUUGUCUCUUGAUCAGAUAAGUGUAGCUAAAGCUAUCACUUAUCACUUUUCACUUGUCACUUGAUCAGAUAAGUGUAGCCGAAGCUAUCACUUAUCACUUUGUCACUUGAUCAGAUAAGUAUAGCCGAAGCUAUCACUUAUCACUUUCCACUUGUCACUUGAUCAGAUAAGUGUAGCCGAAGCUAUCACUUAUCACUUUCCACUUGUCACUUGAUCAGAUAAGUGUAGCCGAAGCUAUCACCUAUCACUUUGUCACUUGAUCAGAAGUACUCAAAUCCGGCGUUCCGCUCAAUUUGAUCAUUUAUUCAAUUUUCGCAUUUUUAUUUUACUCUCUUUUCAACACUAAAUACAUUUCAUCAUACAUUAUAUAAUUCAUGAAAUUAACAUUUAAUCAUUAAAUUUCAGUCAUAUGAACUUACUAUUUCAUUAUCUUACCACACUUGUUUCCUAUACACAUCACACAAGAUAUAAACAUAGCAUUCAACCAUAGUCACAAGCUAGUAUAUUUAAACAUAACUCUUUUUUGGAACUAACCACAUGAUAAACCAUUCAUGAAAUUAUUUCAUGCCAAAUCAUAUACCGAAUAUACGAUACACACAUACUAUGAAACUUUAUUUUCACACAUGAGCUUAAACCAAAACCAAUAAUGCACAAAUAUAAGCAUUAUUUCUAUUUCAUCGUUUAUCAAUUAUAAUCAAGCAUAUGACCAAUUAUACACAAAUCAUUCAUAUACUUCCCAAUUUUCCUCCUCCUCCUCUCCAUUCCACAUCCUUAAUGUGUAUAACACACUUAAACAACAUUAGCUAUAAUUUUACUAUUCACUCACAUGUAUAUUCAAAGCUGUUUAUCCGAGUCAGAGUCACUAAAUUAUUUUUAUCCGGAGAUACAGAGCUCCAAAUUAAGAUCUGUUAAUUUUACCUAAAACUAGACUCACAUACCUUCUUACCAUAAAAUUUUCAGAAUUUUUGGUUCAGCCAAAUAGUACAGUUUAUUCUUUAAAGUUUCCCCUAUUUUGCUGUCUGACAGUUCCGACCACUCUUCACUAAAAAUUAAUCAUCUCAUUGUACAGAAUUUGGAUGAUGUUUUAGUUUAUUUCUUAUAAAAAUAGACUCAUUAAGGAUUCUAACCAUAUAAAUUAUAACUCAUAAUAAUUUUUGUACAAUUUUUAAUGAUUUUCCAAAUUCAGAACAGGGGAACCCGAAUUCAUUCUGACCUUGUCUCACAAAAUCUAUUAUAUCUCAUGAUUUACAAUUUCAUUACUUACACCGUUUCUUCUAUGAGAAACUAGACUUAAUAAGCUUUAAUUUCAUAUUUUAUUCACCCUCUAAUUCAACUCCCACAAUUUUUGGUGAUUUUUCAAAGUCAGACCACUGCUGCUGCCCAAAACUGUUUAGUGUAAUAUAUUGAUUACCAAUUUGACUCUAAACUUUUAAUACAUGAUAAUUUCGUCCCUAGGCUUGGAAAAUGAAAUUCUUGCAAUAUAAUCCUUAAUUCAAGCCUAGUAUUUCUCAUACAUAUCAAUAACAGCCCAUAGAUUCCAUGAAAUUUUAGAAUUUAUCCAUGAUUUCAAUACUUUUCAAUUUAAUCCCUAAAACAUGUUUUCAUCUAAAAUUCUUUAAUAAAACACCUUUAAACAUCCAUUAAC